AUUGAACGCUGGCGGCAGGCCUAACACAUGCAAGUCGAACGAGUGGCGGACGGGUGAGUAAUGUCUGGGAAAAUGCCUGAUGGAGGGGGAUAACUACUGGAAACGGUAGCUAAUACCGCAUACCCUCAGAUGUGCCCAGAUGGGAUUAGCUAGUUGGGGGGGUAACGGCUCACCAAGGCGACGAUCCCUAGCUGGUCUGAGAGGAUGACCAGCCACACUGGAACUUAGACACGGUCCAGACUCCUACGGGAGGCAGCAGUGGGGAAUAUUGCACAAGGGGCGCAAGCCUGAUGCAGCCAUGCCGCUUGUAUGAAGAAGGCCGUCGGGUUGUAAAGUACUGUCAGCGGGGAGGCGUUACCCGCAGAAGAAGCACCGGCUAACUCCGUGCCAGCAGCCGCGGUAAUUC
rnacentral:rRNA from 1 species